AUGGCUCGUCUUCCUUUGGCCACCACGAGAUCUCGACGAAGGAAUUUAGCAUUUAGGAAUAUUUCGAUUAGCAUCAUGCUUAUGUACUAUUAUAUAUGGUUAUUAUUUGCACUAGUCUAUAAAAGGAGGUUGUGGAAGAUAGAAAAGAGGAUUAGAAAUAGAGAACUUAGAGCCGCACAUUUGUACCAACUCAUUGGCGAGAGUGAUGUAGCUUGCAUACAGGAGCUUCGCAUGGACAGGAGGACAUUCCACAAAUUGUGUGAGAUAGUUAGAGUUACUGGUGGUCUAGAGGGCACAAGGAACACAUCGCUGGAAGAGAUAGUGGCUACAUUUAUCUACAUAAUAUCACACCAUCUAAAAAAUUGA
rnacentral:rRNA from 1 species